CUGGUCCGGAUGCAAAGAAGGCAGCUGAUUGGCUGUUCACAGCUGAUGUCAACAAAGCUCCAGGGUCCACAGUCUACACCUGCAUGUUAAACAAGAGGGGCGGGGUCGAGUCUGACCUCACUGUCAGUCGUCUGGAGCCAAGCCCUGCCCACCACCCACUGACACCCGAAUCUAAUGGUGAGGCGUAUUACCUGGCCAUCGGAGGUGGUGUGGCGCAGCAUAACUGGAGCCACAUUCAGGCAGUGCUGCAGGACCAGGGUUUCCGCUGCACAUUAAUAGAUCACACUGAGGAC